CCUACGGGAGGCUGCAGUGAGGAAUAUUGGUCAAUGGACGAGAGUCUGAACCAGCCAAGUAGCGUGAAGGAUGACUGCCCUAUGGGUUGUAAACUUCUUUUAUAUGGGAAUAAAAUGUUCCACGUGUGGGAUUUUGUAUGUACCAUAUGAAUAAGGAUCGGCUAACUCCGUGCCAGCAGCCGCGGUAAUACGGAGGAUCCGAGCGUUAUCCGGAUUUAUUGGGUUUAAAGGGAGCGUAGGUUGAUUGUUAAUUCAGUUGUGAAAGUUUGCGGCUCAACCGUAAAAUUGCAGUUGAAACUGGCAGUCUUGAGUACAGUAGAGGUGGGCGGAAUGCGUGGUGUAGCGGUGAAAUGCUUAGAUAUCACGAAGAACUCCGAUUGCGAAGGCAGUUCACUGGACUGCAACUGACACUGAGGCUCGAAAGUGUGGGUAUCAAACAGGAUUAGAUACCCUAGUAGUC
rnacentral:rRNA from 1 species